CGAUGUUCUAAAAAUGGGCCAGUGCAAAAUACAGGGGAGGGAAGGAAACAAUCAGCCAAGGUGUGCAGCUUAUCAGCAUGCACUGAGCUCCAAGGAAACCCAACAAACCUGUCUUCAUCAGAACAAGGGUCAAUUUCCAAUGGUCAUGAGUUUAUCUUGUGAAGAGACAGAUAAUGCUGAGCAGAAGUCCCUGGGCUUUUAGAAGAUUUUUAUUAAGUAUCUGCUGUUACUCCCAUGGGCAAAAACCAAAGCAGUGUUUUAUACACUAAUAGUGCAAUCACAUAGCAUGUAUGCAAUUAGUGUUUUGUUUUCCCGCUAGUUCCAAGUUGGAUCUCGCUGACCUUUCUGUUUAACUAUUUAAAAUAUCCCACACAGAGUCAAACCUUUCAGGUUUUCUUUGUGGGUCUCCAAUUUGAGCAGGCAUAGAUUCUAUGAAGAUGCUGCAGUAGAUCAAAUUUUGGGCUUACCUAUAAUUAUCAGUAGAACUGCCCUUGUCUACAGCUCUAAACAAAUUUUUCAGGAUCCUAAAAAUCUUCACAAGUCCUCACCAUUGUUCAGCAUGCUUCCCUUCCCACUUUACAAUUCCUAGCUCCUAAAGAAGUCCCUAAAAAAAUGUAGUUCAGUGUAUAUGAGUAAUAUGCUACUUAGUGCUACCAUUGCCAUGUUUGCUCCAGACAUGUAUGUACCCCGGUACACAUGUUUAAUUUUUCAGGUUUUUUUAGCAGAGGCAAAACCAAACCGAUGAUUCCGAGAAAUGAAAUGAUUUAUCAUAAAACAGUAAAAAACUCUAUCCCCUAUGUUCCUGCCCCCAGUUCUGCUCUGUGGCCAAAAGCUAAAUCUGUAGUAUUUGGUUUUGUAUGUCAUAAAAUUUUAUUUUUGUAUGUGAAGUUAAACAGGACCAAUUUUUUCCUCAUCAGUCAUCCACCUCCUCCAUAGAAAGGUGAAUUAUUGAAGUAUAAAUGACUAAAUGUAUAAAGAAGUAAAAAGGAUCACAUGCUGAAGUCACUUUGAAUUCAUAUAAAAGCAAACUCUGAAUCUCACAUUAUUGUCUCCUCAUUGAAAAUUUGGUGACUCUGGUGUCAUUUCUGAUCCCACCUGAGAUCUCCAUGUGGAUAUUGCUGAAUGCCACACAGACGUGCUGCCAACACAGAGCAUCACUUCUGAUGUGAAUUUUCUUGCAGGUUAGUAUUUAAACCAUGGACAUAAUUAUUAGUGGAGCUACUCUAUGUAGUGAGAGUAUUUGUUCUGUGUGCUCACAACACACAGAAAAGAAAACACAGUAGACUAAACUCUGCUCUCAGAAACAGAUGUGCCUCUGGUAAAAUAAAGAUAAAAAUACAAAUAUUUUUAAAUGCUUUGCCUGCAGCUGCCUUUUAAAUAUAUUUCCCCUUUUUGGGGGAAUUUAUUUCCCAGGUUUAUUUUCCAGGUUGGAAAACUGGCUCAUGAAUGAUGCAUCUUGUCUUCUCUCAUUCACUCACAUGGUGACAGGACUCAUAUUAAACCCCAUGGCUUACAGAAUACUCAGCUGUGGAAGGAUGUAACUUUAAUUUUGACUGAUUUUAAAAACCUCUGAGUUUUAAAAACUACUGGAUGAACUUUCCAAAUCAGAUCAGACCCAGUCUGGGAGGAUCUGAGGCUGUGUCUUGGUAAGUAGUCCAAAGGGCAGAGAGGAACAGAAUGUUACUGGGUUUUCUUUUCCAAACAAAGAAAUUUUAAGAUUAAGAAAUACCCCUCUGGGAGUAUGAGCACAUAGAAGCUUCUGAUUACACUUUGUCUAGACUGUAUUCUGUAUCAGCUGUUGAUACACUGAUACACUCAGUGUUGAGCCCUACAAACACAAAAGGUGGCUCUUGCCAACUCCUACAGAAACAGGAUUAAGCUGUGAUAUUUUCAAUUGAUUAAAUUAACUCUCAGCACUGAAACCCACUGUCAGAUUGAAUCUGAUUCAGGACCAAAUUCUCUGAAAUAAUCCUCACUCCCUAAAGGAGCUCAGCAGGCACUGCUCCACUUGGGGACCAUCUAGGGACCAGUCAUAUCCCUCUGCUUCUUCCAGAGGUUAUCCUGCCACAGGUGACUUUAAGCCCCAGCUCUAAUUGGCUCUUUGCAAUAGUUACCAAUGGUGGUUUCACAGAACUUCUCAUCAGCCACUUCUUUAGCUAUGUUGGCCCCCAUCAGCACACUGAUCUCUAUUUUCAGCUGCUCUCGAAUGAGGUCAGAGAUGAGCUUCAGGCCAUGAGGACCCUCAUCAAUCCCCUGAAAAGAAGAUAGUUAAAGCCAGGGUAUUAUGCCAGGAAAAUUACAGCAGCAGAGCACUGGUAAAGCAGAAGGUGUUCUAUUGCCUGCAGCUCUCUAGUUUUAAUUUUAAAAAAGGGUCUUAUAAUCACUAGUAUUAGCCAUUAAUAAAAAUGCUUUGGAUUUGUACUUUGGUAACUGCAAAUUCAAGGCAAGCUCAGGGAGAAGGGGUGACAGUCAAGGUAAUCCUGCAAGAGGCCUCACAUGAAGUGCUGCUGUCCUGAGUCUUGCUUUCUUUGAUGUUGUAUUUUUCCUUUUGGUUAAAUUUCUGUAGUACAGGAAAAGACAUUUAAAACUAAGUCUAUAAAAAUGGCUUUUUUUGCAAGAUCUAAGUAUUAAUCAGAGUUCUUUUUGGGUGUUAAGGAGUAUACUGAACUGUCUUAGGUUUUUUAAGCUAAAUUUGCAGAAAUUUCCUUCCUCUCCCACCUGCCUCUCUUCUCCUUACUGCUGGUUAUGAGAUAAUUUCUAUACAGUGGAAGAGCUGGUAUUAAAGUUCAAAAAUUUGAAUUACAUUUCUUUCAUUGCAAUUUUAAGUGGGAUAUUUCCUAUAAUGCAAUCAAAGAAGUGGUAAGACUACAUUCCUAUGCUUUGCCUCUGGCUUUUACUUUGACAUUCUUUUAAAAUAUUAACUCCUUUAAAGAUUACGAUAAUCUGGUACCUCUCUAACCUUAAAAAGAGAUGCCUCUGUUCAUGCCAGAUUGAAAUUGCUUCAGUUUUGCAAAAUCAUUCAUGUUAUUAUGCCAUUUUAAUGCUGCCAAGAAAGCUUUAGCAUGUACUUGGAAGAGGCACUUUGACUCAAGAGUUCUCAGUUAGGAGUUAACUGAGGCUGUAAUCUCAGAAUAUUUUUCUGGCAGCAGUUCCAGCUUUAUGCAUCCCUUCCUCUGCCCAUUUUCACCUCCAUGCUGGUCCAAGUGGGAGCUGAUCCAGGCUAAAUAGACUGGCAAAACCAGAUACUCUUAGCCUGGAUAGGCUGCCCCAUCCUUCCCUCUCCACAGCCAUGAGAGUAGCAGAAGGGCUGGCAGAGCUGGGCAAGAUUUAACUCUUGCAGGAGAAAAUGUUCAUGUUUAUGCAGAGUGUGCAGCUGAGGGCUGCAGCUCCUGCCCUUAAGUUGGAGCUGUUUAUUUACUCCAUAUUGACUGGGUACUGUGGAGACAACAACUUACCUUGAUCAGGGAAAUCCCAAAUGUCCCAGGUUUUAUCUGUCCUGCAAUCUGCUCACAGACUCGUCCAAUAAAUUGAUGUGGCAGAACAAACACUAAAACAUCUGCCCCGUUUGCUGCUUCAGCCACGUCUGGUACAGCCACCUGGGACAAGAGUGACAAACAAAAUGAGCCCCAGGUAAGAGUCCUCAGUCCUUGCAAGACACCAUCAUGCCAAAGCCAUGGCAAAUGAGUGCAAAUGUCCUUAAUUUUAACUGGCCCUAUGGCAUAGGUGCCAGCUCUCCACACGAACAGCUGCAGAUCUCUUCUGAAAUAUCCAAAACAGCUGAACUGUUUUGGGGUUGGAUUUUUAAUAAUUUUUAAAUAAUUUAACCCUGUGUGGAUAAUCUGGGAAGGAUAAUGUACUUCAUAAAUUUGUGAUGUGCUGGGAAGCCCCUUUGCUAGUUCAGCUUCUUGAUCUGGUUCCUGAAGAUGGCUGACCAACCCCAUAUGAUUCUUCUGGAAUGAGUGGUAGCACUGGGGAGCACAGGAGAAAAAUGGGGUGGUUGGGACAGAGGCUCUUCUGGAGGUCUUUAGUUUCCAUAGGUCACCAGCUGAGUUACUGAGGGAUAAACUGUAUCAAAAGACAGAAAUUAUCAUAAUCUUUGGCUGUGUGCCUUUGUUUUAAAUAUACAGUAAUUUUCACAAGAAUUACAAAAACCUCUACAGCAUGCUUAAAAACUACCUAGCUGUAUCUUCCUCCACAUGCUGGCAUUACUCAGAACAAUAAUUCAAGCCAGGCUACAGAGGCAACAGCAGGUGCAUUUGAGCCUGCUAGAAGCAAUUUACAGUAGGAGCAAACAUCACUCUUAGAUGCAGCCUUGAAGCAUGCAACCUUAAGCAAGUGGGACUCCCAGCAAGAAAACCAGAGCUGCUGCCAGCCAGACUGCUUCUCUGGGAAAACAGUGAAGUGGGAGCAGGGCAGAGGCUGGCAGCACUGCACGGGCUGUGCUCCUGUCUCUCCAAAAUGCUGCAGAGCAAUGCAAGGAAAAGCUCAGCUUGUUUGCGUUUCUUUUUUUUUCCUCAGUUGGAGAUAGUCUGAGGGUCCCUCUACUGCAACCAGCUGAUUUUUGCUGGUGAAGCCUCAAGCUUUGCUCUAAACAGGGUGAGGCUGGCCUCAAGGGAUGGUGACAAGAUCUGCUAGAAGGUUGUAAAAAUAACAGUGACAAGUCAGUUGUAACCCAGGAGAACUGUGUGCCAAGUUCAAACACUAGACUGCAAAUAUGCAAUCACAGCACAAAAUGGAAUACUAAAUAUAGCCACUCCCCAAGCAAGGAGACCCACCACAUGCAGCAUUUUAAUUUCCCUUUACAACUACAACUGUUCCAAAAAUGCGGCACUACUCACAAAGCAGCAGCGUUUGGCAAAAUCUUGAACAGCCAAACCCCCUCACCUCACUUGUUUCAGAAGCAGUAAAUUUUUUAAGGUAAUUAAUUUGAGAUGUGUAACUUGGUAUUUUAAAUGUCCAUGAAAAUAAAUACCUUAUAUUUUUUGAUACAAUUUAGAGCUUUAUUAACUACAGCUGUCCUGAAAUCACCUAUGAGCUGAUAGCUCAUUAUUCACCUUCUUGUAAGCCACAGCUCUGCUUUGAUUUUUUUUUUUUUUCUGAAGAAAGGAGAACAGUAGCUUUGUCUGUUUUUCCAGAAGAUGCUGUGGGUUUGAAAUAGCUCUGCGUAGACAGAUCUCUGCCUGCCAUUUCUAGAGUUGUGCUGCUCUCUGCCAGGGAGGAGGAUGGUGUGAUACCAGCACAGACACAGUUGGUGUUUGAAGUUGCAUGUGACAUACAAGACAAGCAUAAAUAACAGAACUUAAUUAUAUUCCAGGGAGUUAUAAUGGAGUGAGUUAGGUGGCAAACCAGAACAAAACAGUGAAUUGCUUCCUAAUACUUUUUUUCAGACAUCACCUCCCUUAUUGGAAAAAAAAAAAAAAAAGUAAGUUCAGUGAUUUAAUUUUAUUUUUCAACUUACCACAUUGUGGGGUAUCUUAUACCCAGGCAGAUAUUUAACAUUUUCAUGUUCUUGGUUGAUGAUUUCUGAGAGUUUUCUUCCAUUAAUGAUCUCUUCAAAUACCCACAUCUUGACAGUGGGAUCAAAUCUGUUUGACUUCUGGACAUUUUUGCCAAUGAUUCUUGCUAUGGCUGAUCCCCUGUAAAAUAAAAUAAAAAUAACUAAAAGGGGAAAAGUACUUUUAUUGUGAAUUGGAAACACUAGUUACUUUAAACAUCAUAACUCAUAAAAAGCCUGUGCUAUAAAGCUGUCCAGGUGCUUGCAGCAUUUAUCAGAAAGCUUUAUCCACUACCCUGCAUCAAAAGUCCCUCAAGUUUAACACCAGAGGAAGUAGAACAGGGGAAAAAUAUAACUGCAAUAAUGGAACUGAAGUAGUAUCAAAGGUUAUAGAGGUUAUAAAGGUUAUAUAGGUGUGUGAUGUACCAUCAAUAAUACUAAGAAUACAUUAUCUGAGAUUAAAAUCUUUUAUGGUCCUCAGAUAAUUCUGUUUUUCGUCAAGAUCAAUAAAUGUAAAAUAAUUUAGGUGGUAAGUAAGUGCUGAGCAACCUUGCUGUGACAGUCUUCAUGCAUCUCAUGUAAAAUAGAUGCUUCCCACUUUCCUAUCUAUAACCGAACAGUUACAAUAAGGAUUUUACAUAAGAGCUAAAUGCUCAGAAAAAAACCCAAACAACUCUUCAAUCUGGUGAUUUCUCUUUACUUAUUGUUCUAAUUAUCAUUGUAACAGGACCUGUAAUACUUGCAGCCUGAGGGUAUUUUAACCAUGCUGUUUACUCAUCUUGAAUCAUGCUGAGCAUUUUUAAUUUCAGGUCAGACAAUAGUUUUAUUCCCCCAUCAUCACUGCAGGCCUGCAAACACUCACAUGGGAAGGGAGAAUUAGAAACCUCACAGAAAAUAUUUGAAUUAUUGUUUAAUGAACUUUAAAUUAUUUGGGGAAGAGGGGUGAUUAUUUUUACUCCUCUCUAUCUUCUCUACAUUUUAAUGCUACUUUAAUCUCUCAAAUAUUGGCCACUUUAUUAACAGGAGUGAAAGAGAAGCUCCAGUUGCAGCACUCUUUUCCUCUGACCCACGUGUAACAAGGAGCAUGAAUAGGAUUUAGCUGUGGUGUGUGUUCUAGAACUGAUAAAGUUCUUAGGAAUAUCAAAGUCCAGGUAGGUCUAUGCUGUUAAUGAUUCAAAGGAAAACCUCAUUGUAACUGACCCUCCUUGGUUCACCCAUAUUUUUCGUGUAACAGGUUUGCAUAAGGUUAAAUUGCUUAAUAAUGAAUAAGGUCUUAUUAAUAGGUAAUUAAGGACUUAAUCUUUAAUAAUAAAGAAAUCCUGCUGA